GACGAACGCUGGCGGCGUGCCUAAUACAUGCAAGUCGAACGGAGUGGCGAACGGGUGAGUAAUGUAUCGGAACGUGCCCAGUAGCGGGGGAUAACUACGCGAAAGCGUAGCUAAUACCCAUACUAUUGGAGCGGCCGAUAUCGGAUUAGCUAGUUGGUGGGGUAACGGCUCACCAAGGCGACGAUCCGUAGCUGGUUUGAGAGGACGACCAGCCACACUGGGACUGAGACACGGCCCAGACUCCUACGGGAGGCAGCAGUGGGGAAUGUUGGACAAUGGGGGAAACCCUGAUCCAGCCAUGCCGCGUGUAUGAAGAAGGCCUUAGGGUUGUAAAGUACUUUCAGCGGGGAGGCGUUACCCGCAGAAGAAGCACCGGCUAACUCCGUGCCAGCAGCCGCGGUAAUUC
rnacentral:rRNA from 1 species